AGAGUUUGAUCCUGGCUCAGAACGUACGCUGGCGGCACGCCUAAUACAUGCAAGUCGAACGAAGUAGCAAUACUUAGUGGCAGACGGGUGAGUAACAUGUAGGUAUCUUCCCUUUGGUGAGGAAUAACACGAGGAAACUUGUGCUAAUACCUCAUAAGUCUUCACAGAGAAAGCUUUAUGCGCCAAUGGAUGAGCCUGCACUUGAUUAGUUUGUUGGUGGGGUAAUGGCCUACCAAGACAAUGAUCAAUAGCUGAUUUGAGAGGAUGAUCAGCCACAUUGGGACUGAGACACGGCCCAAACUCCUACGGGAGGCAGCAGUAGGGAAUCUUGCACAAUGGGGGAAACCCUGAUGCAGCGAUGCCGCGUGAGUGAAGAAGGCCCUUGGGUUGUAAAGCUCUUUCGUCGGGGAAGAAAAUGACUGUACCCGAAUAAGAAGGUCCGGCUAACUUCGUGCCAGCAGCCGCGGUAAUACGAAGGGACCUAGCGUAGUUCGGAAUUACUGGGCUUAAAGAGUUCGUAGGUGGUUAAAAAAGUUGGUGGUGAAAUCCCAGAGCUUAACUCUGGAACUGCCAUCAAAACUUUUUAGCUAGAGUAUGAUAGAGGAAAGCAGAAUUUCUAGUGUAGAGGUGAAAUUCGUAGAUAUUAGAAAGAGUACCAAUUGCGAAGGCAGCUUUCUGGAUCAUUACUGACACUGAGGAACGAAAGCAUGGGUAGCGAAGAGGAUUAGAUACCCUCGUAGUCCAUGCCGUAAACGAUGUGUGUUAGACGUUGGAAAUUUAUUUUCAGUGUCGCAGCGAAAGCAAUAAACACACCGCCUGGGGAGUACGACCGCAAGGUUAAAACUCAAAUGAAUUGACGGGGACCCGCACAAGUAGUGGAGCAUGUGGUUUAAUUCGAAGAUACGCGCAGAACCUUACCAACACUUGACAUGUUCGUCGCGACUUUAAGAGAUUAAAGUUUUCGGUUCGGCCGGACGAAACACAGGUGCUGCAUGGCUGUCGUCAGCUCGUGUCGUGAGAUGUUGGGUUAAGUCCCGCAACGAGCGCAACCCUCACUUUUAGUUGCCAUCAUUAAGUUGGGCACUCUGAAAGAACUGCCAGUGAUAAGCUGGAGGAAGGUGGGGAUGACGUCAAGUCCUCAUGGCCCUUACGUGUUGGGCUACACACGUGCUACAAUGGCAUUUACAAUAGGAAGCAAAACGGCGACGUUAAGCAAAUCCUAAAAAAAUGCCUCAGUUCGGAUUGUACUCUGCAACUCGAGUACAUGAAGCUGGAAUUACUAGUAAUCGCGGAUCAGCGCGCCGCGGUGAAUACGUUCCCGGGUCUUGUACACACCGCCCGUCACACCAUGGGAGUUGGUUCUACCUUAAGGCAAAGGUUAAAAACUUUGACCACGGUAUAGUCAGCGACUGGGGUGAAGUCGUAACAAGGUAACC
rnacentral:rRNA from 1 species